rnacentral:rRNA from 1 species
CUUGGCGACCAUAGUGUUUUGGACCCACCUGAAUCCAUUCCGAACUCAGAAGUGAAACGAAAUAGCGUCGAUGGUAGUGUGGGGUUUCCCCAUGUGAGAGUAGAACAUCGCCAGGC